GCCGCCGCCACGCGCGUGCGGCCCGGAGGGUGUCGGGAGCAGGGGCCGCGGGCGGCAGCUGACGGGCGGGCCCUUCCGGAGGCGCCGCGCCUGGACCGUGGCCGCAGGUUGGGCAGCGCCAGACGCAGAGCCCUGUGCCGCUUGCGUCCCCGGGCUUCCUGCCCGACAAGGACGGGGGGCCGGACAGAGAGCCGUGUCGGCCGAGACCCGAAUCCGGGAUCAGGGGUUCCAGUCUCGAUCAUCAGUGAAGUCCUUCCACAUCCAUGGGGCGUCCACCAACUAGGAGCUUAAUCAACACAACGCUGUGGCCUCUCCAGCUCAGGGACGUGCCUUUCCCGUGUCUUCUUCUCACACACAAACGUAGCCUGCAAGGAAGACUUAAGAGGCCAAUUAAAAAUAAAGGUCACGGCGCAUGGUGAGGAGUUGCUGUUCGUAACCGACGGAAAAGGCUUCAUACGUGAACACGGCUGGACAAGCAACCAGAACAGGUGCUUCCCCAGGAUGUCCAGAAACAAGCAGAGACCGUGAAGGACAUUUAACCUCACCACCAAUUCCAUGUGUGCCCAUGAAAACAAGAUUCCAUUGUUGGCUGACAGAUUGGCAAAGAUUAAUACUAGCCAAUGUUAGCAAAGACAUGAAAAAAUGGGCCGUUACGGUUCCUGCUUACUUAUUAAACAUUUCUGUGGGCCAGUUUGGCAAUUUGAA
rnacentral:lncRNA from 1 species